rnacentral:ncRNA from 1 species
GGUCAUUCGCGAUACUUUGACCCCCUCGAGCUGGCUCGAUCCCGAUCUCGAUCCCGAAUUCCAGAACGAAUACGGAUCGAUCCUUUUGACUUUAACGAGUUUUUAGCAAGAGGUGUCAGAAAAGUUACCGCAGGGAUAACUGGCUCGUGGCAGCCAAGCGUUCGUAGCGACGCCUUUUUAAAGUAAAAAAUGUGGCUAGCGCCGGUGUCGGUGUCUGUGGCUCGUGGGACCCGAAACGGGGAGGACGAUUACCUCCGAGUU